AGAGUUUGAUCAUGGCUCAGGACGAACGCUGGCGGCGUGCCUAACACAUGCAAGUCGAGCGGGGAAGAGGAGAUAGCUUGCUAACUCCUGUUUCUAGCGGCGGACGGGUGAGUAACGCGUGAGCAACCUGCCUUUAUCAGGGGGAUAACGCAUCGAAAGAUGUGCUAAUACCGCGUAAGACCACAGCCUCACAUGGGGCAGGGGUCAAAGGAGCAAUCCGGAUAAAGAUGGGCUCGCGUCCGAUUAGCUAGUUGGUGAGAUAACAGCCCACCAAGGCGACGAUCGGUAGCCGACCUGAGAGGGUGAUCGGCCACAUUGGAACUGAGAGACGGUCCAGACUCCUACGGGAGGCAGCAGUGGGGAAUAUUGGGCAAUGGGCGAAAGCCUGACCCAGCAACGCCGCGUGAGGGAAGAAGGGUUUCGGCUCGUAAACCUCUGUCCUAUGGGACGAAGGAAGUGACGGUACCAUAGGAGGAAGCCCCGGCUAACUACGUGCCAGCAGCCGCGGUAAUACGUAGGGGGCGAGCGUUGUCCGGAAUGAUUGGGCGUAAAGGGCGCGUAGGCGGCCUGCUAAGUCUGAAGUGAAAGUCCUGCUUUCAAGGUGGGAAGUGCUUUGGAUACUGGUGGGCUGGAGUGCAGGAGAGGAAAGCGGAAUUACCGGUGUAGCGGUGAAAUGCGUAGAGAUCGGUAGGAACACCAGUGGCGAAGGCGGCUUUCUGGACUGAAACUGACGCUGAGGCGCGAAAGCGUGGGGAGCAAACAGGAUUAGAUACCCUGGUAGUCCACGCGGUAAACGAUGAAUGCUAGGUGUAGGAGGUAUCGACCCCUUCUGUGCCGCAGUAAACACAAUAAGCAUUCCGCCUGGGGAGUACGGCCGCAAGGUUGAAACUCAAAGGAAUUGACGGGGGCCCGCACAAGCAGCGGAGCAUGUGGUUUAAUUCGAAGCAACGCGAAGAACCUUACCAGGUCUUGACAUCCGUGUAAAGCCGCAGAGAUGCGGUGUGAGCUUGCUCAAUGCGAGACAGGUGGUGCAUGGUUGUCGUCAGCUCGUGUUGUGAGAUGUUGGGUUAAGUCCCGCAACGAGCGCAACCCUUAUCUUUAGUAGCCAGCGGUUCGGCCGGGCACUCUAGAGAGACUGCCAGGGAUAACCUGGAGGAAGGCGGGGAUGACGUCAAAUCAUCAUGCCCCUUAUGACUUGGGCUACACACGUGCUACAAUGGCGUAAACAAAGGGAAGCAAAGCUGUGAAGCCGAGCAAAUCUCAAAAAUAACGUCUCAGUUCGGACUGUAGUCUGCAACCCGACUACACGAAGCUGGAAUCGCUAGUAAUCGCAGAUCAGAAUGCUGCGGUGAAUACGUUCCCGGGUCUUGUACACACCGCCCGUCACACCAUGGGAGUUGGGAAUGCCCGAAGCCAGUGACCUAACCGAAAGGAAGGAGCUGUCGAAGGCAGGCUCGAUAACUGGGGUGAAGCCGUAACAAGGUA
rnacentral:rRNA from 1 species